UUCCAUCACAGUAGCGGUCCCAGCAGAGC
rnacentral:piRNA from 1 species